rnacentral:rRNA from 1 species
AUGCAGAUUGGUAGCAGUGGGCCACCACCGAGGAACAGGGCGUCACCUUCAAGACUUUUUGUCCUAAACAGUGGCCUCGAUGAUAUACAAAAGGAUGCCAUUGGUGAUAUAAGCUUUGGGGGUGUGCUUGAUAUCGGGACAAGAACAAUGAAAGGAGAUCUUCUGAAGUUUGUGACGAAGUGUUAUGAUCCAGAGUUGUCGCAGCUUGUUAUCCCAGAUAGGGGGAAGAUCCCAGUUGAUGCAGCAAGCGUAGAAAGAAUCUGGGGUUUACCCAGGGGGGCAGGGAAGGUUGCAUAUGAAGUGGAGCCAGACGUAGUUAGGUUGUUCAAUGAGAUGUUCGACAUCCCGACAGGGCCCGCGCCAUUAGUGACCGAGUGGUGCAAAAUGAUAAAAGAUAUGUGA